UAUCCAAAACUUAAAAAGAAGCAAUUAAUGCAAAUGAUCAAAUUUAGAGUUGCCCAAAAUGUUGCAACUCAGAAGCACAAACGGCAAACCUCCCGUCGGCGUCGAAUAUCUCUUCGUUUUGCCCAAUCGCCAUAUCCAGCAGUAGUAAUAUGAACUUUCUGAUCAAUGUAAGUUCAAUUUCACUUGCAUUAUACAUCUUCGUUUUCGGAUUCUGUCCAUAUAUGCGUGUGUUCAACUGUUUAUACGUUCUAGACCUCAAUGAAUUUGUGAUUCUUAUGAGUUAUGUUGAUGAAUUUUAUUUGAAAUGAGAUAAUAAGUAUUAGUUGAGCGACCACACCAGAAAUCGAACUCGCUAAACUAGAAUCGACUAUUCAAAGUUUCAGUCGCGGAUUGCCCUAUGAUAUUAGAGACGCUUUGCUAUUAUUGAUAAUCUGAUGCUAGUUGGUUAGUGUUAUACAUGCAUACUAUCUGUUUGAUGAAAGUUCGGGUGAUAAUGCCAGCUCUAAGAAUCAAUAUGCUUUGUUAACAACUGAAUCCUCUGCAGUACUAUAGUUACUAUCAUGGAACUUAUGUUGUAUGGUGUUCCUUAUGCUUUGCUAUAUCUUGCUUCAAAAAAUGAUUUGCACCUCUUCUUACCUGCACGAUUCCUUUUUGUUUUUCGUAAUUGUUAUUAUAAGGUUUUGUUGCUAAAUGAUAGAAUAAGAAAAUUGGAUCUGAAAAAUGCAUAGUUAUUCAUGUGGAAUUAUGAUGGCGUACAUUAUUAGAAUCUCAUAUUUCAGAAAGAAGUUUAACCAUGUGUGGUCGUGGAGAACAUUUUGCUAAUAGCGGCUGAACCUUUGGUGAAAUUGUGAAUCCAGUGCCUUCGCUCAUAUCAAUGAUCUCACUAUUGGGCUUAUCCCACUCAAAACAUUGAAGAAGUGAGCCUAGUGCCAAUCCAAUGACAUGAAUUGCUAGGUUCUCACCAGGGCAACCCCUCCUUCCUGAUCCAAACGGAAUAAACUUGCAGCCCUCUUUGACACUGUCAAAGCCUAUAAAUCUAUCAGGAUUGAACUUUUCUGGAUCCUCCAAUACCUUAGAGUCAUGAUGUAUCCCCCAUGCAUUCACUAAUAGGAUUGUUCCACGCGGAACUCGAUAUCCUGCAACUUUGCACUCUUCUGAUGAAAGGUGAGGCACAAGUAAAGGGGCUGCUGGAUGCAUCCGCAAUGUCUCAUCGAUGAUGCAUCUGAUGUAAGGAAGUUGAGCCAAAUUGGAUUCAUCCGGUCUUGUCCAACCUGAUUGUCAAUUUCAGUCUGUGCCGUCUUUAAAAUUUCUCGAUUGUCAAGCAAGCGUGAAAAAGCCCAUUCUAGUGUUACUGCUGAAAUAUCUGAUCCAGCUUGGAGUAGGAUCUGCAUGCAUAAGAAAACAGAAUGUAUAAACUAGUUAACAACAUUUAAAGGAACAGUAGAUAUAGACAGAAGCAAAGACACUCUGUAGGGUCAAUGGUUUUGGUAGUUCAAAUAUAGCUUUCAUUUCAAGAUCUAUAUCCAGGGUAGGGUAAGGCAUAUGUAAGUAGAAUUAUAAUAGUCAAUAUCACCUGCCUAUACUAUGUACUCCGUCUGUUGUGAACCAAACUGACCCCAUAAGGGCCUACGGGCUAUUAGAGAGUUUUAUUUGGGAUCCAGACCCAUUUACACUUUGUUAAAAAGGACUAGGAAUUAGAAGAACGGUUAUGGAAAAUUAUUAUGUCAAGCUCUGGCUUUCUAUCCUCUCAUUUCCUUUCUAUGGUCUUGUAUCUCAUCCCUUUCUGGUUACUUCUUUCUCGGUUAAUCUCUCCUUAGUUAGUGUAUUAUUAUUUUGUUGUGCCUAUCCUACAUUGUAACUUGUAUUCAGUGAUUAAUAUAUAUAACUGUGUUUCUGUUGGAAUCGAGUUUGUUUCACCGUCCCGUUCAAUUUAUUUGUACUAGUUUGACUUGACAGAAAGUGAAAGAAAGUAAAGAAGACUUUUGAAUCUUGUGUCUAAACAUGUCAUGUGGUAUGUUGAAAUUUAAGAGCUGUCAAAUUAGGAAAAAGACACUCUUUUUUAAACAAAAAAGAGAAGUAAUACAAACAAAUUGAAACAAAAGGGAGUAUAAAUCAAUCUUGGUACGGAAGCAUUUAGACUCAUCUAAUCAUGUCUUUUUAUCAAGAAACCCCAGCAGAAUACCAAUUUGUAUCAAGUUCCAUCUGAAGCUUAACAUAGUAUUAACUCAAGAUAACACAAGCAAAGAAAACAAUGAAGAUAAUCUUCAUGUACAAAAAGAAAAAAUAUAGAUGUCUGAUAGUCUUACCAGCAGUAGGUUUCUAAUUGUUUCAUCUGUGUAGUAUUCGGGGUCUGUUUUCUGUAAAUCUAACAAGACUUCCAUGAUAGUUUUCUUCUUCCCUGCCACAACCUCUGCUGAAGGAAAAGAACCACUGGUCUUUAAUCGACGAUGCUCGUCUAUUUCCUUUCGCAUAAAGUUAUCUCUCUUCUUCUGUAGUUCCAUCAUCUUUUCCUCAACACUAUGCAAUCCAAACCACCUCAUAAAUGGCAAGAAAUCCAAAAUAUUAGCCUUUGGAGUAGUGUUUAUUGUUUCCUUUGAUAUAUCCUGGAAUAGCAUAGCUUCUUUUGAGUUCUCUCCAUAGUAUCUUUUCCCUGCAAUCAUUCUCGAUAUCACGUUGAACGUGAAGUUAAAAAGAGAUGAUUUCAUCUCCACAAUUUUUUCCAAAUUCUCUAUGGAGACUCUAAAGAGUCUACGAAUCAGGUAGUUUAUUUUAUCAGAACGGAUGCUUGAUAGUGUCUGAAUUCUAUAGGAAGAUAAAACUUCAAGAGUGGAAAUUCUUCGAAGAUUUCUCCAGUGCUCUCCAUAAGAAGACCAAGCGAGGCUAGUAAAAUUGUACCCGAAAUACUUACCACUGAGAAAAUCAGGACGAUUGGCAAAGAUGAUAUCAUUUUUAGUAAAACAGUCUUCUGCUACUAAAGGUGAUGAAACAAGGAGGACAGGCCGAGAGCCAAAUUGAAGAAACACUACUGAACCAUAACGAUUCGAGACUUUGAAUAAAGCCCUAUGGAAAGGUUUACUCAAUAAGUAGAGAUGGCCAAUAAAAGGGAGUGUUGGAAAUGGGCUAGGUGGAAGGUUUUGUAACUUGUUAAGAAAAUGGCGGCUGAUGAUAUAAUGAACAAGGAACAGAACUGGGAAAUACAGAUAAAGAUUGUCCAUGGAUGACCAGAAUUGUAGUAUUAUUUCUGAUAAUUAUCUAGUUUUAUUAGCUUGUAUUAAGAUCUUUGCAGCUUAGACAACAAUAAAUGAGUGUCAUCAAAUCUUGGUUUUGUAAUCUAAAUUGAUCAAUCUUUGUAGGCUAGGUAUUUGUUGAAUCCCUAAUAAUGUAGGUUAGUUGUAGAAAUUUAUUAUUUAUAGAAAAUUUAUCCUUGUAAACAAACAGGAAGGAAUUAAAUACUAACAAGUAAAUAUCCAAUAAACAGGACCUUAUAAUUUAUUUAGGCAAUUGAUGAUUGAUGACAAAUGACAAGAUGCAAUUUUUCUGGAUGUACUCUAAUUAGGUUCAUUUGUCCAGUAUCAAAUAUGCAUUGAUAUAUUCAGCGUAUAUGUAUUCAAUAUCAAUAUCAUCAGUGUAUCCAAUAUCAAUUUUAUCCGGUGUAUCCUUUAUCAGUUUCAUCCAAUUUCAUGUAUCAAGUAUCAAAUAUACAUUGAUGUAUCCGUGCUUAGAUAUGCGUAUCUGGUAUCAAAUAUGCACUUAUACAUUCAUCAAAUAAACCAAUAUCAAAUAUGCACUGAUGUAUUAAGUGUAUCUAUACACAGAUACAUAUCAAUCAUUAUUUCUAGACAUGUAAAUAUUGUCCCCAAGUAAAAUUAAACCAAAAUCAGAACUGAAUAGUUUAUGAAAGUGAUACCCUGUGGUUAAAUAGUUAUAGUAGCAUGUUUGCUUAGUUAGGUAAUUUUUUCCAUUAUUGAUACCCAUAAAACAAUAGAUCCAAAAUGUUGCAACAUCAUCUUAAAACUCUAAUUUUCAAACAACAAUAGCUAAACGGAAGAGAUAUGGAAAAUUGAAUAGGUCGACAAUGAAUCGGAACUCAGAAGCACAAUUUUCUUCCUUUUGCUCAAUCGCCAAAUCCAACAAUAGGAGUAUGAACAAGGCCUUCACAUUCUGAUCAAAGUAAGUUCAAUUUCACUUGCAUUAUACAUCUUCAUUUUCAGAUUCUCUCCAUAUAUGUGUGUUCGAGUGCUUAUACCUUCUUGACCUCAAUGAAUUUAUGAGUCUUAUGAGUUAUGUUGGUGAAGUUCAAUGAAUUUUAUUUGAAAUUCUUGCGGAAACGCCUGGGGUUUACCUUUGCUCAGCUUAAUUUUGGUUUUCGUUAAUUUCACCCUAAGAUAUUGAUUAUACUUUGUAAUUUCUCUGCAUAUUUCUAAGGGGAUGGUAUAGUACUGAAGAAGCUAUAACUCUAAUUAUUAUGUCAUGACUCUAAUUUCUAAGGGGGCAGUAUAGUGCUGAAGAAGUUAUAACUCUAAUUUUGUUAAAUUGUUCGAAUUGUGUAAUCAUCAGUUAUUGACAUUGGGAAGCGACCCAAAGUGAUAUUCAAUUCGUGACUUCAAAUUUGAAUUGCUUUCCUGUUAACCGUGUAAAAGAAGCUUUUGGUAAUUGUGCUCCAAGAUGCACUAUAAAUUGCUAUUUUCCAUUUGGUUACUAUUGUAUUUAGAGAGUUGAUUUCCCACAUAAUCACUCAACUAAUUAUUAUUAUCUCAUAAAGUCACAUCUCUUCUUGAUUAUUCCAAUGUUUUUCAAUAAAGAAAAUGACUUUCUGAGAUAAUAAAAUUUAGUUAUGUGGCCAUAUUAGUUCGAACUCUCUACACUAAUGACUAUUCAACUUUACAGUCACGGAUUGCCUUCUAAUAAUGGGCCUUUGAUAUUAGAGAAGCUUUGCUAUUAUUGAUAAUCUGAUACUAGUUGUGAGUGUUAAACAUGCAUACUAUCUGUUUGAUGGAAGCUAAGGUGAUAAUGCCAGCUCCAAGAAUCAAUAUGCUCUAUUAACAACUGAAUCCUCUGCAGUACUAUAGUUACCAUUAUGGAACUUAUGCUAUGAGGUAUUCCUUAUGCUUUGUUAUAUUCUUGCUUCAAAAAAUGAUUUGCUCUUCUUCCCUCACAAUUCCUCUUUGUUUUUUGUACUCAAUAUUAUAAGGUUUCAUCGCUGAAUGAUAGAAUAAGAAAAUUGGAUCUUAAAAUUGCUUAGUUAUUCAUGUGGAAGUAAUGGCGUACAUUAUUAGAAUCUUGGUUAGGAUUAGAUUUCAGAAAGAAGUUUAACCAUGUGUAGUCGUGGAGAACAUUUUGCUAAUAGCGGCUGAACCUUUGGUGAAAGUGUGAAUCCAGUGCCUUCACUCAUAUCGAUGAUCUCCCUAUUGGGCUUAUCCCACUCAAAGCAUUGAAGAAGUGAGCCUAGUGCCAAUCCAAUGACAUGAAUUGCUAGGUUCUCACCAGGGCAACCCCUCCUUCCUGAUCCAAAUGGAAUAAACUUGCAGCCCUCUUUGACACCUUCAAAGCCUAAAAAUCUACCAGGAUUGAACUUUUGUGGCUCCUCCCAUACCUUAGGGUCAUGAUGUAUCCCCCAUGCAUUCACUAAUAGGACUGUUCCACGCGGAACUCGAUAGCCUGCAACCUUGCACUCUUCUGAUGAAAGGUGAGGCACAAGUAAAGGGGCUGCUGGAUGCAUCCGCAAUGUCUCAUUGAUGAUGCAUCGGAUGUAUGGAAGUUGAGCCAAAUCGGAUUCAUCAAUUAGGCGAUCUUGUCCAACCUGAUUGUCAAUUUCUGUCUGCGCUGUCUUUAAGAUUUCUGGAUUGUCAAGCAAGUGUGAAAAAGCCCAUUCUAGUGUUACAGCUGAAGUAUCUGAUCCAGCUUGGAGUAGGACCUGCAUACAUAAGAAAACAGAGUGUAUAAACUAGUCAACAACAAUUGAAGGAACAGUAGAUAUAGACAGAAGCAAAGACAAUAGGGUCAAUGAUUUUGAAAGUUCCAAGGUAGCUUUCAUUUCAAGAUCUAGAUCCAGGGUAGGGUAGGGAAUAUAUAAGUAGAAUUAAAAAAGUCAAUGUCACCUGCCUAUACUAUGUACUCCCUCCAUUUUAAUUUGUUUGUCUUAGUUUGACUUGACACAGAGUUAAAGAAAGAAAAAAAAACUUUUGAAUCUUGUAGUCUUAAAUGUGGUAUGUUGGAAUUAAACUGUUGUCAAACAGGAAAUAAUGGUAUGUUGGAAUUAAACUGUUGUCAAAUCAGGAAAUAAACAUUCUUUUUCGAAACAAACUAAAAAGAAAAGUAUUACAAACAAAUUGAAACAAAAGGGAGUAUAUAUCAAUCUUAGUACAGAACAUUUAGAUUCAUCUAAGCAUGUCUUUUUAUUAAGAAACACUAACAAUAUACCAAUUUGUGUCCAGUUCAAUCUGAAGCCUAACAUAGUAUAAACUCAAGAUAACACAAGCAAAGAAAACAAUAAAAAUAAUCUUCAGAGUGUAUCUUCAUGUACAAAAAUAAAAACAAAAACAUAUAGAUCAUGUCUGAUAGUCUUACCAACAUUAGGCUUCUAAUUGUUUCAUCUGUGUAGUACUCGGGGUCUGUUUUCUGUAAAUCUAACAAGACUUCCAUGAUAGUUUUCUUCUUCCCUGCCACAACCUCUGCUGAAGGAAAAGAACCAUUGGUCUUUAAUCGACGAUGCUCGUCUAUUUCCUUUUGCAUAAAGUUAUCUCUCUUCUUCUGUAGUUCCAUCAUCUUCUCCUCAACAUCAUGCAAACCAAACCACCUCAUAAAUGGCAAGAAAUCCAAAAUAUUAGCCUUUGGAAUUGUUAUUAUUGUAGCCUUUGAUAUAUCCUGGAAUAGCUUAGCUUCUUUCGAGUUCUCUACUUUCUCUCCAUAGUACCUUUUCCCUGCAAUCAUUCUCGAUAGCACAUUGAACGUGAAGUUAAAAAGAGAUGAUUUCAUCUCCACAAUUUUUUCCGAACUCUCUAUGGAGACUCUAAAGAGUCUACGAAUCAGGUAGUUUAUUUCAUCAGAACGGAUGCUAGAUAGUGUCUGGAUUCUAUAGGAAGAUAAAACUUCAAGAGAGGAAAUUCUUCGAAGAUUUCUCCAGUGCUCUCCAUAGGAAGACCAAGCAAGGCUAGUAAAAUUGUACCCGAAAUGCUUACCACUAAGAAAAUCAGGACGAUUGGCAAAGAUGAUAUCAUUUUUAGUAAAACAUUCUUCCGCUGCUGAAGGUGAUGAAACAAGGAGGACAGGACGAGAGCCAAAUUGAAGAAACACUACUGAAC
rnacentral:lncRNA from 1 species